rnacentral:rRNA from 1 species
AGUGAACGCUGGCGGUAGGCCUAACACAUGCAAGUCGAACGGCAGCACAGUAAGAGCUUGCUCUUACGGGUGGCGAGUGGCGGACGGGUGAGGAAUACAUCGGAAUCUACUUUUUCGUGGGGGAUAACGUAGGGAAACUUACGCUAAUGCCGCAUACGACCUACGGGUGAAAGCAGUGGAUCUUCUGACCUUGCGCGAUUGAAUGAGCCGAUGUCGGAUUAGCUAGUUGGCGGGGUAAAGGCCCACCAAGGCGACGAUCCGUAGCUGGUCUGAGAGGAUGAUCAGCCACACUGGAACUGAGACACGGUCCAGACUCCUACGGGAGGCAGCAGUGGGGAAUAUUGGACAAAGGGCGCAAGCCUGAUCCAGCCAUACCGCGUGGGUGAAGAAGGCCUUCGGGUUGUAAAGCCCUUUUGUUGGGAAAGAAAAGCAGCAGGUUAAUACCCCGCUGUUCUGACGGUACCCAAAGAAUAAGCACCGGCUAAGUUCGUG